CAACAAUACUAUUGAAAGAAAUAGGAAUUCUCUUGCAGCCAAUAACCAUCCAUGGAAAUAAGGAUAAUGAGGGAACAAAAAUAAUAAGUGCACAGUGUCGCUAAAUAAAACUAGUGAUUAUGCAUAACAAAAAGAAUGUAAUAAAUAAAAGUAGAAUUCUGUGUCUGUGUUAAAUGACCUAUUGUGCUUUCAGGGGCACCUGUCCACUAAAUACUCAGUGGACAGGGGGCACUCUGAAGAGCCUGACGGGCACAACGCACGCGUCAGGGCUUGUCUACUGCCAAGUCUUCUGAUUACAUUAUUUAGCAACUUUCUUUCCCUCGUCUAGUUACUAGUACCAGCAAAGCUCAGGGAUUUUUAAAGGCAGUUUACACUAUUUAGUGGACAGGUGCCCUCGCAGGCACGAUGGGGCAUUUUAGACUUAGGCACAGAUCUUGAUUUUUCUCUAAGGUUCACCUUUAAUUUGUAAAUUAUUAUUCUUAAGGCUAUUCACUAGUUGUUUUCUUGUAGACACUGCACGUUAUUCCUCUUCUUUUUUUGUUUCUUAAUUAUCCUAAUCUCCCUGAGCUGGUAUUGGCUGGUUAUCAAUAUUAAGGCUGUUAAAAUCCAUCUAAGUUACAGAAGUUCUGGACCAACAAUCUUGAUAAUUUCAGCAUUCAGAAGUCUCCUAUUUGUUACAUAUUUUUCUGAAAGACUCAAUGAGUCACUAGCCCCAUAUCAAUCGGUGAUUAGACUGAGUUAUAGUGAUUCUUACUACUUUUUAGCUAUGCUGAUUAUUUAUUAAUAGUUUGGAUGUUUGUAAUAUUUUGAAGAAUACUAAUGAAAGUUAGAUUUUUUUUCCAUUUCUAAAGGAUCACUAUAGGGUCAGGAACACAAACAUAUAUUCCUGACCUUAUAGUGUUAACACCACCAUCUAGCCCACCUGGGCCCCUCAUGCCUCCAUAAAUAUAGUAAAAAUCUCACUGUAUUCAAGCCUGAAGCUGUAAAUCUGCAUGCUGUUAGACUCAGAAAAACAAGCAGUCUGCUGACAUGUGGUAGCCUGAUCCAAUCACAAUACUUCCCCAUAGGAUUGGCUGAGACUGACAAAGAGGCAGAUCAGGGGUUAGAGCCAGCAUGAUUCAAACACAGCCCUGGCCAAUCAGCAUCUCCUCAUAGAGAUGAAUUGAAUCAAUGAAUCUCUAUGAGGAAAGUUCUGUGUCUGCAUGCAGAGGGAGGAGAUACUGAAUCACAGGAUGCUGUGCACAGUGCUGCCCUGUGCUCUGCUGACAGCAGAUCUGAGUGGAUGGAGGCAUAUUAUGCCUCCGUCAACUCCAAAGUCCUUCUGUUUCACUCUGAGUGACUGCAACUAGAGGUGUUCCUAGCUUUCAAUGUAAGCACUGUAUUUUCUUAGAAAAUUCAGUGUUUACAUGAGAAAGGCUGCAGGGAGCUAUAGUUCUCACCUGAACAACCUCAUUAAGCUGAAGUCGUUCAGGUGACUAUAGAGUCCCUUUCAUUUUUUUCUCCUUUGGUAUUUCAUCUAUAGUGAGUAUUCCCAAUCUUUAAUUUUUUAGUAUUUACCUUGAUUAGUCCAAGUUUUUGUCAUUUAUAUAUAUAAAUACAGGCACAAGAUAUAAAGAUAUACAAAUGUAUGUCUCUUCAUAAAAUGUAGAUGCCUCCAUAUAGCGAUACAUGCAUUUACAAACUUCUAUAAAGAGACAUUUAGUAGCACAUGUCUAUAUGUUUCUAUAUAGAGGCACACAUGUCUAUAAAUGAAUGUCUUUCUAUUUAGGAAUAUGUAUGUAUAUGCCUCUAUGUAGAGAUGUAUGCUACUGCAUGCCUCUAUAUAAAGUGUAUGUUUGUGUAGAGGAAUAUAUUGUAGCCUAUGUUUCUAUAUAUAAGUGUAUGCCUGUAAAUGCCUUUAUAUAGAGAAUAUGCAUGUAUAUGCCAUCACAUAUAGACAUAUAUAUAUAUAUAGUAGAAUGUCUUGGUAAAGGUUAUAAAGGAUCACAUCAAAUCAUUAGCCUUACCUCUCCCACCCAUAUUUGAUUUUAUAAUCCCGUCCUUUACACAGUAUGCCCCCUAUAGGUGUACUGUCAUCAGCGGUCAUGGCACACUUUAAGCUGCUAAUCUGUAGGUACUAGUUCAUUGAAACAUUGUGUAAUUGACACGACCAUAAAUUGUAUAUCUCUUUAAGUAGAGGCAUAUACAUGCAUGCAGCUCUAUGUAUUUCCAUGCUUACGUCUUGAUUCAUGUGUUAUCAGUAUGCCUAUAUAGAGAUGUAUAAAUGCAUGUCUCUUUUUAAACACAUAAUCUCGCUAUAUAUAUAUGCUAGAGAAUAUAUCUGUAUGUGGAUACAUAUAUACAGUGUGAAUGCCAACAGAGUGAACAAGUCUAUCCAAUCUUAUUAAAUCAAGGCCUUGGUCCAUUUGCUGCAAUGCUAACGGGGAUACUUUGCAGUCUUUGUUCAUUGUGCAGUCCCAUCAUCACGUUCUGGACUGUGUAAG
rnacentral:lncRNA from 1 species